rnacentral:rRNA from 1 species
AAUAGAUACCCAGGUAGUCCACGCCGUAAACGAUGGAUGCUAGCCGUCGGCAAGCUUGCUUGUCGGUGGCGCAGCUAACGCAUUAAGCAUCCCGCCUGGGGAGUACGGCCGCAAGGUUAAAACUCAAAGGAAUUGACGGGGGCCCGCACAAGCGGUGGAGCAUGUGGUUUAAUUCGACGCAACGCGAAGAACCUUACCAAGCCUUGACAUGUCCGGACAGGCCCUUGAAAGAGGGUCCUCCCAGCAAUGGGUCGGAACACAGGUGCUGCAUGGCUGUCGUCAGCUCGAGUCGUGAGAUGUUGGGUUAAGUCCCGCAACGAGCGCAACCCUCGCCAUUAGUUGCCAUCAUUUAGUUGGGCACUCUAGUGGGACCGCCGGUGAUAAGCCGGAGGAAGGUGGGGAUGAUGUCAAGUCAUCAUGGCCCUUACGGUUUGGGCUACACACGUGCUACAAUGGCGGUGACAGUGGGCAGCCACCCAGCAAUGGGGAGCUAAUCCCAAAAAGCCGUCUCAGUUCGGAUUGGGCU